rnacentral:tRNA from 1 species
AGAAAUUUAGGAUAAUAAAACCAAGGGCCUUCAAAGCCCUAAACAGAGGACAACCCUCUAAUUUCUG